rnacentral:lncRNA from 1 species
AUCAGGAACCUGUGAGAUUGAAUAGUAUAUUACACGAAAAUAUAAACUUUAAAGUAAAAAAGAAAAAAAAUCUGCAAAAAAAGUUGACCGGACGGUAUUCACCCUCGCCGAUGUACGCGUUGAUUAUAUUGAACUGAGCGACAAAAAAUGUAAAUAUUUUUUUUGUAAACAAUAUUUUUUCAUAAAACUGAGAUAUGUGCGAGAU